UACGAAGGGGGCAAGCGUUACUCGGAAUUACUGGGCGUAAAGCGUACGCAGGCGGCUUUGCAAGACAGAUGUGAAAUCCCCGGGCUUAACCUGGGAACUGCAUUUGUGACUGCAUGGCUGGAGUGCGGAAGAGGGGGAUGGAAUUCCGCGUGUAGCAGUGAAAUGCGUAGAUAUGCGGAGGAACACCGAUGGCGAAGGCAAUCCCCUGGGCCUGCACUGACGCUCAUGCACGAAAGCGUGGGGAGCAAACAGG
rnacentral:rRNA from 1 species